UGUCUCCCGGGGGCCUCUCAAUGCGUGGCACCGCUCACAGGUGAAAGCCCAAGCUCUUCACAUCUCCCAUACCCCUGCCAGGAUUCACUCCUCUCGACUCAUUCAUUCCGCCUCUUGAGUGUCUCUGGACCCUUCUCCUCUCCUCCAUCCCUAUGGCUGCCAUUGCAAACUCCAGCUGUCUGGGCUGAAUGACUGCAAUAGCCUCCUUGCUGAGAAUAAGGAUGGGCUGGGCAUGGUGGCUCACGCUUGUAAUCCUAGCACUGGGAGGCUGAGGCAGGCGGAUCACCUGAGGUUAGGAGCGGAGGUUGCAGUGAGCCAAGAUCAUGCUGCUGUACUCCAGCCUGGGUGACAGAGUGAGACUCCGUCUCAAAA
rnacentral:lncRNA from 10 species